rnacentral:lncRNA from 1 species
UUUGAGACAGAGUCUUGCUCUGUCACCCAGGCUGAGUGCAAUGGCAUAAUUCAGCUCACUGCAACCUCCGCAUCAGUUCAAGCCCGGGUCUCUCUCAGCUACCCUAAUUUUCAGCUAUGAUUACAGGUGCCUGUCCCCAUGCCUGGGUAAUUUUUUGCAUUUUUAGUAGAGAUGGGGUUUCACCAUGUUGGCCAGGCUAGUCUUGAACUCCUGGCCUCAAGUGAUUUGCCCGCCUUGGCCUCCCAAAGUGCUGGGAUUACAGGCGUGAGCCACCAUGCCUGGCCAACUUUUCUUUUUUGAAACAGCCUUACUGACCUAUAAUAAACUGCACAUAUUAAAGGUACAAUUUGAUAAGCUUUGACAUAUGUAUACACCUGUGAAACUAUUGUUAUCAAAACCCUAGGGGUUCAGUCUGGGUCCUGCUGCUCACCACACAGAAGGCCAAUUACUAAGAAAAUGAGUAUUGCCAAGGAAGAAAGCUUUAGGCCAGUGCUGCAGCUGAGGAGAUGGGAACUGGGUCUCAAAUCCAUCUCCCUGAUGGAUUAAAACUAGGGCUUUGUAUAGCAGGGAAGAAAUGUAACAAUGUAUAAGAAAACAGGAACUCAGAAGGGACAAGGAAGCAAUUAGGAUGAAUGAGGGGUCCAGCAUUUCAUUGUCAGGAUGGGGUGAUCUGGUGAGUUUCAGUUAUUUGAUACUAUUUAUUUAUUUAUUUAUUUAUUUAUUUAUUUAUUUAUUUUUGAGAGACCUGAGUUUCCUGAAGAAGGAAUUCAGAUAAAACAAAUAUAAAGCUUAAGAACAGAAAUGUCCAUUUCUUUUUUUUUUUUUUUUUUUGAGAUGGAGUCUCACUGUCUCUCAGGAGGCUGCAGUCUACACAUGAGCUGGGGCUGUGGUCAUCUGAAGGUUGAACUGGGGCUAGAGGGUCUGCUUCCAAGAUGCUCACUCACAGGGAUGCUGACUCGGUGCUGGCUGUUGGUAGGAGGCCUCAAUUCCUUGCCAUGUGGACGUCUCCAUAGGAUGGCUUGAAUAUCCUCAUGACAUGGCCACUGGUUUCUGCCAUAGCAAGUAAUCCAAGAGCGAACAAAGCAGAAGCUACAGCAUCCUUCAGAAAUCACACAGUGACACUUCCACAGUGUCUUAUGCAUUACUUAGUCAGCUCCAUUCAUUGUGGGAGGAGAAUACACAGAGGCACGAACACCAGGAAGUGAGGAUCACUGGGCGCCAUCUUGUAGUCUGGCCACAACAGCAAUGUCUUCCAUAUCUCGUAUGUGCCCCCAAGCCCAGUGUCUAGUGUUGAACUCAGCACCCACUUAAAAUGAUUCCUGGUCAAGUUUGGUGGCUCAUGUCUGUAAUCCCAGCACUUUGGGAGGCUGAGGUGGGAGGAUUGCUUGAGCCCAGGAGUUUGAAACCAGCCUGGACAACAUGGCAAGACCCUGUCUCCAAAAAAUACACACAAAUAUUAGCCAGAUGUGAUGGUAUACACCUAUAAUCCCAGGAACUCAGGAGACCGAAGUGGAAGGAAAUCCUGAGCCCAGAGACCUCAAGGCUGAGGUGAGCCAUGAUCGAGCCAUUGCACUCCAGCCUGGAUGACAGAGUGAGACCCUGUUUCCAAAAAAAAAAAAAAAGAUUCUUAAGAUGGUAGGUCGAAUUUACAAACCAAAAGGGACUAUGGCAAUUAGUUCAAUUUCCCCUUUCAUUUGUCAGAAAAAAACUGAGUGAAUACAUAAAUAUGAACAAAUUUAUCAACUGAUAGGCAUUGUUUGGGAAGAACACAAAGCGUCUUUGCGUGUUUUGCCUCUGCUCUCACACCACUACAACAGCAAUCAUCAACACAGAAGACUUCUCUGACCAAACAUGGGCAGAUUUUCCACCAUACACCAAGCAGCGGACACAAACUGAGUGUUCAAUUAAAUUCUGACACUACCGGAUUCCACAGGUAGAUAGAAUCAGAUCCCACAGGUUGAGGGCUCAGUCCACAAGACAGGCCUCCCCCUCCCCACUGCAGAUCCCAGCUGCAAUUCUGGGUCUCCAGAACUUCUGACCAGGAUUCCCACAACCCCCACUUUGGGUUCAAUUAAUUUGCUGGCACAGCUCACAGAAUUCAGGGAAGCACUUAACAUGUACUGACUUCCUAUAAAGGAUGUUACAAAGCAUACAGAUGAAGAGACGCAUAGGGUGAGGGGCAUGCACGCAUAG